CAAAAAAAAAAAGAGAAGACUUAUCUCAUUGAAGAUUUCUUGAAAUGAAACUACAAGAGAAGUACAUGCUUAGCAUUAUUAGCUAUACAUAAAGAUAUAUAUAAUUAUAAGAAGUAGAGUAGAUAACAUGAGAAAUUAAGUCCUAGAAAGCGACAGCAGUUGAUUUUCUGUCAGCAGGAAGUUGCAAUUGAGGCAAGUCAUGAUAGCCCGUGAAGAUUACUCUGGCUUCAGCCGAAGGAGGAAGAAGCUGAACAACAUGAUCAGAAUGAUAAUGAUACCUAUAAACACAUGCUUGUUUUGGUCCCUCACAAGUAGAAGUAGAAGACUCUCUUCCUUUUCUUCCUUCUGAAAGGGAAAAUCCCAGAAUUUUACCUAUCUUUACGAGGUCUACUUGAGGUGCCAUCUAUAUAAUAACUGAACUUAAUUAAGAUAUGCUCUCUCUCUG
rnacentral:lncRNA from 1 species